AAAGGCCAUUGUUAGGCCUAUUUCACACAUACCUAAUGAUUGUUUGGCAACCACCUGGCAACCACCUGUCACUAGGGAAAAUCAUUUCUAAGUAGUUGCUGGAGGUUGAUGGCAGUUGCUGUAAAAUUGAUUGCUAAGCUCCGGUCACACAGACCCAGAGACCAGCCAGUAACCCCUUGGUAACCACUGGUUACUAAUGGUUAAUAUAUGCAUUCCCCCACCAGCUGAUGUACAGUUGAGUCUUGUCCGAUCUUUGAACAGAGGGGAUGGCGUUUACAGCAUCUGAGAUCCAGACUAUGCCAGGACACAGCUUUGUUUCAACACACUGUUUGAUGGACAGCAGAGGUGUCAGAUAACUAUCAGCGGGGUCAAUAGUCCCAUCAG
ensembl:lncRNA